rnacentral:lncRNA from 1 species
GCCGCCUCCUGGCCCCUCCUCCCCUCGGUUCUGUCUGCUGAACCAGGGACGAUUUCAUACUUUGGAUAGUCUCCUAUUAAGUCUUUGACUUAAAACUGGCUGAAAUUUGGUUUUAUCCGGUGAUCUAAGGGAUCGCAAAGAGGACAGCCUUCAUAGAGGAUGCGCCAUUCGAGCUCUACCACACAGGAGGCACGGUGGUGGCCUCACCUCUACACAACAGUGUUCCCACCUCCUGAAAAGCCUUCCUCUUCCAUCGUAGAAUGUUUACAUUUUCUCUUUAUUGUGAAGACUUUCAUCAUCUUUUCAAUCAGAACAAGUAUGCCUGUCUUAGUUACUUUUCUCUUGCUGUGAUAGAACACCAUGACUGAGGCAAUUUACAAAAGGAAGUUUUGAUUUACCUGUGGCUUCAAAGUUAGAGACCAUGAUGGCAGAGCAAAGGAAGAGCUGAAAGCUCAUGCCUUGAUGUAAAACUACAUGACAGAGAGAAAACACUGGAAACAGAGUGAGUCUUUUGAAAACUCAGAGCCCACUCUCAGUGACACACCUAAUCUUUCCCUAAUCCUUCUGCUAACUGGGGAACCAACCAUACAUUUAAUUAUGUGAACCUACAGUAGCCAUUCUUUAUUUUUUUAAAAAAAGAUUUAUUUAUUACAUGUAAGUACACUGCAGUGGUCUUCAGACACUCCAGAAGAGUUCAUCAGAUCUCAUUACAGAUGGUUGUGAGCCACCAUGUGGUUCCUGGGAUUUGAACUCAGGACCUCUGGAAGAGCAGUCAGUGUUCGUAACCACUGAGCCAUCUCUCCAGCCCUACAGUAGCCAUUCUUAUUCAAACCAACCACAAUGCCCUUUCUUGAUCUAAGACUUAUUUUUUCUUUUUUGUGUAAUUUAUCUUAGUAGCAAUAGUUUCUCUGUGUUCCUACUUCCAGUGUGCAAAAAUGUGCUAAGUAUUUAAUAUGUAAUAGUGCUUUAGUCAUCCCUGAAACAUUAUAAAUAGACAUUGUUAUACUUUUGUUGACAGAUGAAGAAAUUGUGACACACAGCGAUUAAGUAAUGCAUCUAAGGGCACACCAACUACCAGUUUUGAAGUAAGGGUUCUAAGGUAUGUUUGGCUACUUAGUCUGAGUCUUUUUUCUUUUUAAAAGAUUUAUCUAUUUGUUUUAUAUAUAUGAAUGAGUACACUGUAGCUGUCAUCAGACACACUAGAAAAGGGCAUCAGAUCCCAUUACAGAUAGUUAUGAGCCACCAUGGUUGCUGGGAAUUGAACUCAGGACCUCUGGAAGAGCAGUUAGUGCUCUUAACCGCUGAGCAUCUCUCCAGCCCUAAGUCUGAGUUCUUUUUUUUUUUUUUUUUUUUUUUUUUUUUUGAGACAGGGUUUCUCUGUGCAGCCCUGGCUGUCCUGGAACUCACUCUGUAGACCAGGAUGGCCUCGAACUCAGAAAUCUGCCUGCCUCUGCCUCCCGAGUGCUGGGAUUAAAGGUGUGCGCCACCACGCCCAACGUUCUUUGGUCGUUCUUAAAAUAGAAUUUGUUUGGAAAGACAAGAGUAAGGAGUAUAUUUUGGAUAAUUUGUUAAUUAGAAGAAUAGCACAGAGAAAGAAAUGCUCCCAUAAUUCCACUGUCUGGAGAUAGCCGUAAUUGAUGUUUCUAUCUAGUCUUUCUAUAUGUUCACAGAGACAUGGAUACAUGCAUAGUUGAAAACAUUGAUAACAUGGGGUUUUUGGUGUGUUUAUUUAUUUAUUUAUUUUCGGUUUUUUUUGGUGGGGGGGGUUUCGAGACAGGGUUUCUCUGUAUAGCCCUGGCUGUCCUGGAACUCACUCUGUAGACCAGGCUGGCCUCGAACUCAGAAAUCUGCCUGCCUCUGUCUUCCGAGUGCUGGGAUUAAAGGCGUGUGCCACCAUGCCCGGCGUGUGUGUUUAUUUUUGACAUAGGGUGCCAUAUGAUCCAGGCUUG